UACGGAGGGGGCAAGCGUUGUUCGGAAUCAUUGGGCGUAAAGGGCGCGUAGGCGGCCGGCCAAGUCGGGUGUGAAAUCCCUCGGCUCAACCGAGGAACUGCACUCGAUACUGGCUGGCUAGAGUCCGGGAGGGGAUGGUGGAAUUCCCAGUGUAGCGGUGAAAUGCGUAGAUAUUGGGAAGAACACCGGUGGCGAAGGCGGCCAUCUGGACCGGAACUGACGCUGAGGCGCGAAAGCGUGGGGAGCGAACAGG
rnacentral:rRNA from 1 species